GGACGGGUGAGUAAUGCAUAGGAAUCUGCCCUAUAGUGGGGGACAACCUGGGGAAACUCAGGCUAAUACCGCAUAAUCUCUACGGAGGAAAGGGGGCUUCGGCUCUCGCUAUUGGAUGAGCCUAUGUCAGAUUAGCUUGUUGGUAGGGUAACGGCCUACCAAGGCGACGAUCUGUAGCUGGUCUGAGAGGAUGACCAGCCACACUGGGACUGAGACACGGCCCAGACUCC
rnacentral:rRNA from 1 species